rnacentral:pre_miRNA from 1 species
ACACAAAUCACUGUAGGAUCUUGUGAAAAUGCAGAUUCUGAUUCAGUAGGUCUGGGGUAAGGCUAAGGUUCUGCAUUUCUAACAAGCUCCAGGUGAUGACUGU